UUUUUUUUUUUUUUUUGGGUAGCAAGAGCUCCCUUGUACUACCAUCCGCCCCUGGCUGUCAGACCGUCAAGUUAUAACAGCAGCCAUGAAAUCAAUUGCACCGAUUGUGACCACCGGUAAAUAUGGUGACAAACUUUAAGAUAAUGCUGGUGUUAUUGUUAAUCCCAAAGGAGAAAUAAAAGGUCGCUUUUUGAUUGGAAGGAGAUAGCAGAUGGAGUGGAUUAGGGGACUAUAACAUUUAUCACUGUGACCAAAUGAGACAUUUGAACUAUUUCAAUUUUAACUAUUUUGGCUUUUGAAUGCUUGUUAGUUUUAUGUAAUUGGUAAUUACUGUCUGAAUUAUUCCUUUAAGUGGAAGCUGUAACCACUAAGACAUCAUGGUUUUAUGGAUCCAUUUUUAUAAGUUUGACCAAACUAAAAUGUCUAUUAAGCACUAUCAAUUUAUGAAUUGAUGUGUAUUCAGUAUUUUCACCAAGUUUUUUUUCUUUCUUUCUGGAUUUAUAUCCUGGAUAAGUUUACUUUCUGAAUGCAAUCAUGGAUAAGUUGUUGUAUGACAGGUAAACAAUUUUCGAUAUCUAGCAUCCUAAAAGAUUCUAUUUUGUAGGUUGUUUUGCAUUUGGAUAAGUAUUGUCAGUUUGGCUGCUAUAGGUUUGAAUUGCUCUCUGUGUAUGAGCCAUUUUAUAGUUCUAUGACUUCGUUUUGGGUUAUAUAUGCCAGUUUAUAAUUAAGUCAUUUCGUGCACUAAUUAAAUUUUGGAUCCAU
rnacentral:lncRNA from 1 species